rnacentral:rRNA from 1 species
CCCCACUGCUAUCGAGGUGGGACUAAGCCAGGCCAGUCGAACGACUCGGACUAUGGCGAGAAGUGGCAAACUGCUCAGUAACACGUAGCUAACCUACCCUCAGGACGGAGACAACCCCGGGAAACUGGGGUUAAUCCCCGAUAGGCGUGGAUUCCCGGAAUGGUGUCACGCCCAAACGUUAACACACCAUGUUUGUGUACACGCCUGAGGAUGGGGCUGCGGCCGAUCAGGCUGUUGGUGAGGUAACGGCUCACCAAACCUUUGACCGGUACGGGCCGUGAGAGCGGUAGCCCGGAGAUGGACACUGAGACAAGGGUCCAGGACCUACGGGUCGCAGCCGGUACGAAACCUCCACAAUGCACGCAAGUGCGAUGGGGUUACCUCGAGUGCCGUCUGAAGAAGGCGGCUUUUCCAUUGUGUAAUGAGCCGUGGGAAUAAGGGGGGGGCAAGACUGGUGUCAGCCGCCGCGGUAACACCAGCCCCCCGAGUGGUGGGGAUGUUAUUUGGCCUAAAACGUCCGUAGCCAGCUAGGUAAAUCUCUCGUUAAAUCCAGCGUCCUAAGCGUUGGGCUGCGAGAGAGACUGCCAAGCUAGAGGGUGGGAGAGGUCAGCGGUAUUUCUGGGGUAGGGGCGAAAUCCAUUGAUCCCAGGAGGACCACCAGUGGCGAAGGCUGCUGACUAGAACACGCCUGACGGUGAGGGACGAAAGCUGGGGUAGCGAAUCGGAUUAGAUACCCGBGUAGUCCCAGCCGUAAACGAUGCAGGCUAGGUGUUGGGUUGGCCACGUGCCGACUCAGUGCCACAGGGAAGCCAUUAAGCCUGCUGCCUGGGGAGUACGGUCGCAAGGCUGAAACUUAAAGGAAUUGGCGGGAGAGCACCACCAGGCGUGAAGCCUGCGGUUUA